rnacentral:rRNA from 1 species
AACGCGAUGAAAGUUACCAGAACUUUACAUGCAGAGCACUUUGCAUAGAUGUAUUGAUGGCUUCGGGAAUCAUGACACAGGUGCUGCAUGGCCGUUGUCAGCUCGUGUCGUGAGAUGUAGAGUAAAGUCCCGUAACGAGCGCACACCUUGUCCUUAGUUACCAGCUCGUUAUGGUGGGCACUCUAAGGAGACUGCCGGUGACAAUCCGGAUGAAGGUGGGGAUGACGUCAAGUCUUCACGGCAGUUACGGCCUAGGCUACACACGUGCUACAAUGGACGGAACAGAGGGGGUUCAACCCGCGAGGGGGAGUUAAUCUCCCAAACCCGAUCGUAGUCCGGAUCACACUCGCCAACUCGGUGGCGGGAAGUCGGAAGGCUAGUAAUCACGUAUCAGAA